CAUAAAUCAAAUAAAAACUAAAUUAUAUUUAAAAAGGGAAAUAGGACUAAGAAGGCUGCUUUGGGGUGGAACGGAGGCCCUGAGAGUUGGAUGUCACAGAGGCAAAGAUGAACAAACAAUGGGUACUACCUGGUUGAUGGGUGGACUGUAUCAGGACCAGAAGUACUUCUGGGAAUAGCUUAUCCAGUCCCCUGUUUUCCAGGUCAGAGGAUUGAAGUUCAGAGGGGACGACUACCCUCUGGUCAUACAGUGAGAGGCAGAGCUGGCUCCAGACCCAGGCCCCGGGCCUUCCCAGGGCCCACUGGUACUCCCCCUUUACCAACUGGCCUCAAAUCAAUUAGAAACAACAGCUGAACUGAAGUGAAUUCAAGAGGAAACCCAAGGAAGAGGUUUUAGAUUUUUAUGUUGUCAAAUGUAUCACUCUUUUAGUUUACAGUUUCUGUGUUUCAUGUUAUGCUUUAAAAUCCUAAACAAAUAUGUCUGUUUCCAGCCAAGGAGUCAACCAGAAUAGUUUCUAGAGCUCUCGCAGAGCUGAGAAUUAUUCAUGUUUUCCACAACUAAAGUGGAAAGACCUCCUAACAUGCAGGAUACUGAGUAGGAUUCUCAGAAGGGUGUUGCCUUGCUAGUGAGGCCAAAUUCACCCUACCCUAAAGGCUGCUCUGUCAGUCUCAAAAGGAUGCAGUUGAUUCAUGCUCCGGAACAAAGUCCACUGGUAUUUAAAAGAAUACAAUAAAAUCCAGCAAUCAACAAGUUAAAAUUUACAAUACCCAGCACCAAGUGCUCCCUUCGGCAGUAAGCAUCGAAGUAGGAAAAUGUGGGUUACAACCAGAUGGAAAACUAAUUAGUGGAAACAAACCAACAAAUGGUAGAAAUUAUGGAAUUAGAAGACAAGAACCUUAAAACAGUUAUCAUGAUUCACAGGUUCAAGAGGGUGGAGGAAAAUGUGACCAGGAUGAGGAGCGAAAUGGAAGUUUGUAAAAUUUAAGAUCCAAAUGGAAUUUCUGGAAAUGAAAAAUGUAAUAUCUGAAAUGAAACACAUAUACACUGAUGGUAGUAAUAUGAGAUUAGAUUCUGAAGAAGGAAAAAUCAGUGAACUUGAAACUGUAGCCUUAGAAACUACCCACAAUGAUAUAUGCUUACCAUAGAAAAAUCAUACUACUAGGCCAAGAGAAAUAAAAUCAUGUUCACAAGAAGACUUGAAUAUUCAUAGCUUUGUUCACAAAAAUGAAGAACUAAAAACAAGCUAAACAUCUGUGAACUGAUGAAGAGAUAAGAUGUGAUAUAUCCAUUCCUUUUAUUACUCAGCAGUAGAAGGAAUCAACUACUGAUACUUGCAACGACUGCUGGGCAGGACUCUGGGCUGCUCACCACCCCUGGGAAGGGAGCAAGGGUGUGACCAAGGUGUCUAUGGAAUGGGGCUCCAGGAGAGGGCCCACCACAGCUCUCAUGGUUGCACGUUGACUUCCCAGCUGACACUAUUGUCGGGUAUACAAAGGAGAGCCUGGCCUCAUACCACUCACUGCACUUCGCUCAGCACCAUCAACACAGACUCUCAGAGAGGAAGAAGGACCCUGCUACCGUCCACAGCACCUUGGGGGCUUUUUCCAGGUGUCUCCUCCCUACUGCUCCUACCCCGAGUCAGUCUUGGGGUUUCCAGGGAGCGGGAAGCACACAGCACAAGGACAGAAUGAGUGAAGCAGAUGAAAGCCACUUGUAUAGCCCUUGGCACUGUAGGUGCUCAGCACUGAACGGGCAGAGGCUGGGAGGCAGAGAGAGAACCACACCAUGCACCCAGCUCCCCACCUCCCAGGCCAGGGCUCCGCUUUCUGUUGGGCCCUGUGUGCAUUGCUAAUGUCAGCAUUUGCCCAGUGGUGGACUGUGGAUAUCACCUCAAACAUACCUCUGACCCUAGAUCCAACUGCUUCACUUUCCAAUAGCUGCUCGACAGAUGAGGGACCUGCUGACAGGCAGGUCAGAGUGAGCUGAACAACUCCCAGGCACAAAGGACAAAAGCAUCCGAAACGUGGAGGGACUCACUGGAGGUCCCCGGCAGCUGGCUGAAUUGUCUGGCUCUACACGGUGGGGAAACUGAGAAAGGAAGCUGUCUCCUUUUGAGUCUGGACACUGGAACUUUCCUGGCCCCCAAAUCAUCUUUUUUCUUUUUCUUUCUUUUUAAACUUAUUUUUUACUUUAAGUACUGGGAUACCUGUGCUGAACGUGCAGGUUACAUAGGUAUACAUGUGCCAUGGUGGUUUGCUGUACCCAUCAACCCAUCAUCUAGCUUUUAAGCCCCACAUGCAUUAAGUAUUUGUCCUAAUGUUCUCCCUCCCCUUCUCCCCAGGCCCCUGACAGGCCCCUCCCUGUGUCCGUGUGUUCUCAUUGUUCAAUUCCCACUUAUGAGUGAGAACAUGCAGUGUUUGGUUUUCUGUUCCUGUGUUAGUUUGCUGAGGAUGAUGGUUUUCAGCUUCAUCUAUGUUUGUGCAAAGGACCUGAACUCAUUCUUUUUUAUGGUUGCAUAGUAUUCCAUGGUGUACGUGUGCCACAUUUUCUUUAUCCAGGAUUAUAAGUCAUUCUACUAUAAGGACACAUGUAUAUAUAUGUUGACUGCAGCCCUUUUGGUUUUUCAGUCAGCCUGCCAGAGGCUGGUUCACAGAUUGUGGAAGCAGAGAGUGACCUUCAUCUUAUCUAGUCCAACUCUCUUAUUUUGGAAGCUAAGUCUUGGAAUGAGGAAGAGAUUUGGCUUCAAAUGUCAGCUAGCCAAAGACUGGUCCUAAGAUAAUUGAAAUAUAAAUAAUGCAAUGAUCAUCUGCCCACCCAGCAUUCCCUCACGCAGCACCAAGCUCUAGCUUUUGAUGAAGAAGCCAAGACCCAGAGAGGUGGCAUCAUUUACCCUGAUGGUAUCAUAUGACUAGCACAAUUCAGGAAACCAAGGGCUAUUGUGAUAACCUUUUUCUCCAUCUUUCCCUUCCUUCUUUCCUUCUCUCCCUUCCCUUCCCUUCCCUUUCCAUCUCUUCCUUCCUUCUCCAUUUUCCUUCCCUCCCUCCAACCUUCUUUCUCUCUCUUCCUUUCUUUCUCUUCUUCCUUCCUUCUUUCCUUUCUUUAUUUACAAAGAAAAGGUGUUUUUUUUCCAUCCCACAAGUUGGAAGAAAAAAAGUUUAACAUUUCAAAAACAUUCAUACUCAAGAAUUGUUGAAGACAUCUGGACCUUUUAAAAAGUUAUUGCAAUUUUAAUAAAUAGGAUAUAUUUUAAAAUAUGUGAAAAUGACAUUCCAUUUAGUUAAGAUCAGUAACUUGUUAAAUUGCCUUUAAGAUCAUUUCCCUAUUAUGAUAUUUUUAACCAAGGUAAAUUUCUAAGGGUUUGGUUAUAUUAUUUCCACAUGGUUCUCCAUAAUCACAUAUAUUUGAUGCUUUCUAAGGCCUUCAUAAAUAUCACUGAAAAUAUUUGUUCCUUUUUGUAUUCUAACUGUAGCCCAUAUUCAGCAGACAUGUACAAACACACAUUUAAGGAAGAGGAUGAGGAGUGAGGAAACUAAGACCCUAAUGUCACACAGCGGAGCUGAAACAAUUCCAGGACUGAGGAUGCGCCAGACCUCAUCCAGGUGUGCAGGUAGGAAGGUAUGUCUGGCCACCACUCCAAGAGGCUUGCAAACUGAAUAAAGGAAGGAAGCAGCUAUCCCAGGUGCUGUGAACCUGUCAAGAACGGUGAGGAGUUAGAAAGCCGAGGCAAGUCAGUUCCACUGAUGGCAGCAGGAGGGUGGCCAGGAGGAAACACUCAGAGGUCCAUGCAGGAGAUUUGCCAGAACCUUAAAACAAGUAGGCAUCGGAAAAGGGCAAUGCAGGCAGCAGGAGCCACAUGAUGGAAGGCUUGGUGGCACUGAAGAAUGUCAUGUGUCUCCUGUACAGGACAGGUGCCUAAGAUACAGGGACAGGGGAAGGGAUGAGGCAUGGGGAGACUGAGACACUGAUAUUACAUACCUGAGCUGACACUCAAUUCCAGCACUCAGAUCCCCUGGCCAUUCUGUUUCUUUAGCAAACCAAAAUGUCCUGAUCAGUCUGCACCCUAUUUCCCUGUAAUCUGCACCCACAGGGGUCUCUAAGGAGCAGAUGGUUAGGAUGGGUCAUUACUGAAUCCCUGCCUGACCUAGCAGGUCCAUUGCCAACCACCAGGCUCCCAGUCAAUGAGCAUGUCCCUACUACUCCCCUUGCUUCAGAAUAGUGCAAGACUAUUUUCAAAACCUGUCAGCUCUGACAGUCUCAGCUCCAGGAUUCAGAAGUCAAUGCAAGCCGGGUGCUAUGGCUUAUGCCUGUAAUUCCAGCACUUUGGGAGGCUGAGGUGGGCAGAUCCCUUGGAAAAGGAGGUUGAGACCAGCUUCAACAACAUGGAAAAAACUUGUCUCUAUUAAAUUAAACAUAA